CCUAAAUCUCCCAUGGCAAACUGCUCAGUAACACAUGAUCAACUUACCCUAUAGAGAAAAAUAACCUCGGGAAACUGAGGAUAAUGUUUCAUAGUUGAAUAGGCUUGGAAAAGUUUUUCAAUAAAAGGGAUAAGGAAAAUGGUCCUUAUCCGCUAUAGGAUAGGAUCGUGUUCGAUUAUGGUUGUUGGUGAGGUAACGGCUCACCAAGCCGAUAAUCGAUAGGGGCCGUGAGAGCGGGAGCCCCGAGAUGGGUACUGAGACAACGACCCAGGCCUUACGAGGCGCAGCAGGCGCGGAACCUCCGCAAUACACGAAAGUGUGACGGGGUUACCCAAAGUGCUCUUUCUAGAGCUGUGGUAGGUGAGUAAUGUCCCCUACUAGAAAGGAGAGGGCAAGGCUGGUGCCAGCCGCCGCGGUAAAACCAGCUCUUCAAGUGGUCGGGAUAAUUAUUGGGCUUAAAGUGUCCGUAGCCGGUUUAGAAAGUUCCUGGUAAAAUCGGGUAGCUUAACUAUCCGCAUGCUAGGAAUACUGCUAUACUAGAGGGCGGGAGAGGUCUGAGGUACUACAGGGGUAGGGGUGAAAUCUUAUAAUCCUUGUAGGACCACCAGUGGCGAAGGCGUCAGACUGGAACGCGCCUGACGGUGAGGGACGAAAGCCAGGGGAGCGAACCGGAUUAGAUACCCGGGUAGUCCUGGCCGUAAACGAUGCAUACUAGGUGAUGGUACGGCCAUGAGCCGUGUCAGUGCCGUAGGGAAACCGUUAAGUGUGCCGCCAGGGAAGUACGGUCGCAAGGCUAAAACUUAAAGGAAUUGGCGGGGGAGCACCACAAGGGGUGAAGCCUGCGGUUCAAUUGGA
rnacentral:rRNA from 1 species